UCUAUUCAUAGAAAUAUUUUUUUCAUUAGUUUAGCUUUCAUCCUAGUGGUAUUGCUAUUUGCAUAUAUAUGUUCAGAGCUUUUAGGAAUCAUGUGGCUCUUAGGACAUACAAAUAACACAGAUCUUCCAUUGUCUCAAGGAAGAAGUUAUACUGUGGGACUUAGAAAAAUACAAUCAUCUGUGCCAGGAAGAUGGCUCAGUAGAUAAAGCAAAAUGCAAGUGGGAAGACCUGCAUUUGGAUCUCUAGAACCCAUGCAGAUGCUGGAUCAGCGGGAGUGCCUGCCUGUAAUUUCAGUGCUCAAGGCAGACAAAGAGUCCCCAGAACAAGCUGGCUACCUUGAUGAAAUAUAUAGGUGAACUCUGGUUUCAUCCGAUAGAUGCUACCUCGGUGAAUAAGGGAUCCUCUGCAGGUGAACCACUUCAGAGAAGAUAUAGCUGCUGGUAAAUGGCUUUGGUUUCCAGACACAAUUUUCCAACUUCACAUUCACAGAUAAACAAAACAGAAGUGAUGGUUUGUAUAUGCUUGGCCCAGGGAGUGACACUAUUAGGAGGUGUUGGAGUAUGUGUGUCACUGUGGGUGUGGGCUUAAGACCUUCACCCUAGCUGCCUGGAAGUCAGUAUUCUGCUAGAAGCUUUCAGAUGAAGAUGUAGAACUUUCAGCUCCUCCUGCACGAUGCCAGCCAGAAUCCCAACAUGUUCCACCUUGAUGAUAAUGGACUGAACCUCUGAACCUGUAAGCCAGCCCCAAUUAAAUGUUGUCCUUAUAAGAGUUGUCUUGGUCAUGGUGUCUGUUCACAGCAGUAAAACCCUAACUAAGACAGAG
rnacentral:lncRNA from 1 species